rnacentral:misc_RNA from 1 species
GAAGAAGGGGAAACGGAACAGAAAUCUCAAGUGCAGUAAUGGCCUAAAUGAGCUUCAAUCUGCAGUUGGAUGUUCAAUAACUCAAGAUGUGAUACAAAAUAUACAACAUAGAUCAAUUAGUUCUUCUGCUAAUAUUUGCAAUUCUUUGAUGAAUGAUGCCAUGACUGUGAGCUCUAUUUCUCUUGGUUCAAGCAGUGAUGAAAGAUGUAGUCAGCUCAUCUGUAAACCACCCCAUCCUAUUGCCAGAACAGAGGUUUCUUCUAAUAGAGACAUCUUAAAGAAUGCAAAGCUGGACGGACCAGGUCAAAUUGAGGAGCUUAGAGAGAGGAAAGUGUGUUCAAAGCAGCAUGCUGGAAAU